GACCCGUCUUGAACCACGGAGUCUAGCAUGUACGCAAGUCAUUGGGAAAUAAUUAAACCUAAAGGCGUAGUGAAAGUAAAGGUUUGCCUCGUGCUUACCGAGGGAGGAUGAGUAUAACUAAGGUUAUUGCUCCGCACUCCCGGGGCGUUUCAUUCUCAUUGCGAGAAGAGGCGCACCUAGAGCGUACACGCUGGGACCCGAAAGAUGGUGAACUAUGCCUGGUCAGGACGAAGUCAGGGGAAACCCUGAUGGAGGUCCGUAGCAAUUCUGACGUGCAAAUCGAUUGUCGGAACUGGGUAUAGGGGCGAAAGACUAAUCGACCAUCUAGUAGCUGGUUCCUUCCGA
rnacentral:rRNA from 1 species